ensembl:lncRNA
CUGAAUCAGGGAACAGUUAGGGAACCCUGAGAGAUGCAGGCCUUCAGCUGUGCCCCGCCCUGACAGCAGUGUUUUGGACGCUGUGAAGCGUUCUGCGCAUAGCGUUCUUGGGGUGUUUCCUCAGCCUGGAAAACUGGGCUCUGGAAUGCCGUUGGAAAUAGGUGUGUUUAAUUUGUUUUGAAGUGAAUAAAAUUCUCAAAAAGAUGACGUACUCUCUUUUGACUUUCAUUCCGUGUUUGUGUGUAACUGAUUUUCCAAGGGCUUGAAAAUGUCUUGACUUGUCAGUAAUCCAAGUCAUUAUGUCUCCGAAACAGAGUUGACUGAGGGGACCGCAGGUCUUCGCAGGACCUGUGACUUCUUAAACAUCCACAGGGGCAAGAGAACCUCAGCCCCACUCUACCAACACGCACCUAGUCAAAUUCCACCAAGUGAAUCUCACGCACGCUAACACGUGGGGAGCGUUGCUUGCACCACGAGUCCCCAUUUGGCUCAACGCGAUGCCACGUGUGGGGUUCAAACUGUGACGGCCCCCAUGAAGUGGUUUCCGGAUGUGCGUAUGAACGAGGCACACUUUCAUUCGCCAAGUAGAACCCAGUAAAGCUGAAGUAAACUCCCAGAUUUGGGAUGCACUUCAGAGGUAGAAUAUUCGUCCCGUCUUCUUUCCGGAUGCCUGAGCACCGGGCCUUUCCAUGCUUCUCCCCCGAUCCUAAGAGUAGCUGAGGUCGAGACUCACUGAAAGCUCUAGGUAAAGAUAUCCCACCAUGCACAGGCUAUCUCCGUUCUCUGACCUGGGAACAACUCUGACCAGGAUUCCACAUCUAGGAGGCCUGGGAACUGAGUGGGAUUUUCUGAGCAAUGCCAAAUGGCUGCUCCCUUUCCGCCGCCGUUGAGGGUCGUUACCUUGGUUGUCCAGAUCACCUAGAAACUAUCAGUAUCCAGAAUCAACAAGAUCAACUCUCUGCUCCUCUGACAGCAGAAGGAGCAUGACCAAAAUGAACCAAAGAGCGUGGCAGGAAAGGAUGUGACCGGAAAGCUCAGAGAACAGCCACAGGGGGAUGUAAGCAGGCGUUCCCACCUGAUCAUGAAUAAUUAAUGAAGCGCAAAUCCAGGGGGAAUCGAGUUUCAGCAGGUGCAACUCAUCCAACGGGAGAUCGCCGGAGGGCCAACAAGAUUCAGCAACUGAGAGUCGGGUGUAGUGUCAAGUGGGACGCGACUGGUUCCAAAGCUCUAGAAGACCAUGGGGUCACUUGGACCACGUGAGAAAAUGCCCCCAGUGUGCUGGUUCAGCAUUCUGACUCCUGCCUGUCUCUUCCCGCCCAGGGAACGUGGACCCUAACUUGUGCAGGUGCAGAUGACGAAGAGCAGAAUGAGGGGACGCGGCACCCAAGUUCCCCGACAAGAGAGUUCCACAGAAAGUCCGCUGGAUCUUCGCAAAUCCAGAGAAAUGGCAACGGGACCCAAGGAAAUAGAGCCCCACCGGUGUCCUGGAGACUCUUCAGGCAUAAUGCCUGGAGCCGCAGGACGAGCUGAAAAAGGAGCCAGGCACCGAAGGACAAAGCGGUGUUGACGUUCUUCAUCUGGGUUUCCCAGUGCAGUCCAAUUCACGGUGGUUUCCAAGGGCCUCCUGGAGGAGAAAACACGUGAGGGUGUGGUCAGGGUUUUCUGCUGACACACUUACCGUGGGGAAGAAGGAGAAGCUCUGAAGAUGGAUAACGACCGAGAUUGCAUGUCAAGGUGUACCUCCUUGAUGACACUGAGGCCUACGUUGAAAUAGAGUGAAUAUGGUCCAAUUACACUGUGUCUAUUUUAGCACCUUGUUUAAAAAAAAAAAAA